AGUGAACGCUGGCGGUAGGCCUAACACAUGCAAGUCGAACGGCAGCACAGGAGAGCUUGCUCUCUGGGUGGCGAGUGGCGGACGGGUGAGGAAUACAUCGGAAUUUACUCUGUCGUGGGGGAUAACGUAGGGAAACUUACGCUAAUACCGCAUACGACCUACGGGUGAAAGCAGGGGACCUUCGGGCCUUGCGCGAUUGAAUGAGCCGAUGUCGGAUUAGCUAGUUGGCGGGGUAAAGGCCCACCAAGGCGACGAUCCGUAGCUGGUCUGAGAGGCUGAUCAGCCACACUGGAACUGAGACACGGUCCAGACUCCUACGGGAGGCAGCAGUGGGGAAUAUUGGACAAUGGGCGCAAGCCUGAUCCAGCCAUACCGCGUGGGUGAAGAAGGCCUUCGGGUUGUAAAGCCCUUUUGUUGGGAAAGAAAUCCAGCUGGCUAAUACCCGGUUGGGAUGACGGUACCCAAAGAAUAAGCACCGGCUAACUUCGUGCCAGCCGCCGCAGUAA
rnacentral:rRNA from 1 species